AUCUUUCCUAAUCUACAUUAAAUCUACACUAAAUCUCUCACAGUAUAUUUUCUCUCACGAUUUUUUUCUUCCCACGAUCUUUCUCUCCUUCGUUCUUUGUAUCUCUCUCUUCUUCAUGGACAUAACCAUCUAUGAAAGCUGUGAUGCAAACAGAUGGGUUUGAUUAUCUGAAAAGGAGCUGUCCAUCUCUAUUAACUGAGCUAUUGAAGUAUUUGGCGAGGCUUAGGGAGCACUCUGUAAUUGCACCAGGACAUCCAAAAGAUAUGUUUGCUGAUGGUUGUGAUGCCAAUGGAAGAAAACUGAAGCAACGGUUGCAUUGAUCAGAAUUACGCUGUUGUUGUUCAAGAGCUUCGACUCCUGUGGCUGCGCCACAGUUAUUACACCACAACACAGAUUCAACUACUUUUCCAGGCCUAGCUACUGCAACACCUGCUUCAUUACAACAAAGGGGAAGGAAGCAAACGUGCAGGUGAAUCUAGUAGACCCAAACCUAGCAAGACUGCCAAACAGCCUCCGAAGAAAGAGGCACCUCAGGUCACAUCCUCAGUUUCUGAAAAAAGAGCUGUAUCAGUAGAAAAAGAGAGGAGGAUGGAUGUCCCUCAGGCACAAAUGCAGUACGACGAUAAAAGCCGAGUCGAUAAAGCUAAGAGGCGCUCAGUGGUUGAACAGACCGAGAGCAAGAACAAAGUUGAGUUGUUUCUCCAUCUUCCUCAAUACGAGCGCGGCAAUCAGCUUCCCAAUCUAAGCUCCAAUAUAUUCACACUCGAUACCAUACACCAAGCUGUCUAUAAGGUGGGUCUGCAACAUUUGGCUGGAGAUAUAGCUGGUGACAAUGCACGAUGUAUUGCCAUGCUCCAUGCAUUUCAAGAAGCUAUAAACAAUUACACCACACCUCCUAUGAAGGACCUGACCAUGGACUUGACAGAAAAGUUUAACGCUAAGAAGUUUAAGUUUUGAAUUUCAGAAAAGAAGAAUUAUGCAAAUUAAUGUAAACAUGCUUAGAAUAAAUCUUCAGAUUGCAAA